UGGUUGGUGAUGUUCCAUGGGAUAUGUUCUCUUCCUCUUGUAAGAGACUCAGGAUCAUGAAAGGAUCUGAUGCUCUUGCUUUGGACUCGGCCUUAUGAUGAUGAUGAUGAUGAUGAUGAAAGCUUUUGAUGGAUGAAACCCUUUUUGAUUUGAUUCUGAUCGGAGUUUGAGUAGUUGACCACACCAAAAACAGAACAUGUCAGGGUUUUGUUCGAUGAGAUAGAUCCAUCUUCAAGGGGUUUUCUUUUUGUUUUGUUUGAUCCUUGUUUUUAGAUUUGCAGCUUGUUGUAAAGAUAGAUGAAAUUUUUGUACAAUACGGACAUAUACACAAUAUAGAUGCGUAUGUAGCAAUGUUUUGACGAAAAGAGUCUUUAAUUUCAUAGUGAUAUCUACAAUAAUUUACAAUAAAGAACCUCAUAGUAUUCUUUAGGAGAGGGCAAAAUAAGGGUUUGGAUUCGAUCAGGAAAUUUUGGAUAUUUGUAACUCCAACAAAAAAAAAUACUUACAUUUAAUUAUAGUUAAAAACUGAAAAAAUUAUAAUUACUAAAAUUUUAGAAGAUAUAUGUGUUUAUUAUAUUUAUAUGAAAGUUUGAUAUAUUUUCGCUAAAUUAUUUAUUUAUUUAUUUAUUAAAAAGUAAAAUUAAAUUACAUUUUAUUUCGUAAUGAACAUUAUUAUAAUAUGUCAAAUUUCGAAUUUUUUAAUAAAAAAUAUUUUUACAUUUAAAAAAGAUUAAUCAAGAAACAGGCCUGAUAAGAGUUUCCAAAGCCCAAUUGACUUGAGUCCAUUGAUUUUGGUUAUGUGCUAUGACGGGGCGAAUCUAGCCCAUUUAAAUUAUGGGUGCACUAUUGAUAGAAAAACAUAAAAAUACAUUAGACAAGGAUCGAACCUAAGAAACUGAGGGUGCACAUACUUCUUUUUACCAUAUAAGCUAACCAAAUUUUGAUGUUUCUACGUGUAAAAUACUAAAUUUUAAAAUAAUUGUGGGUGCACAUGUCCCCUCAUCCUUUAACUUGGCUUCGCCAGGUGUUUCCACCUUCGAUGAUCAGAUAAGUGGAGAAGGUGAAAUCUACAUAAAGCUUGAAUGAAUUGGUACAUUUGAUAUAGCAACGAAAUUAUACAUAGUAUUAAUUUAAUUUAUUUUACUUCGUAAGUCAAGCUAGGCAAGAUUGUUUUGCGUGAAAUUUCGACAGGAAGACACUUGUUUCCAGUUAAUUGGGAAAUAAUUAAUAACUAGAAUAAGACAUGCGCUAGUGCGCAUAAUGAUUUUGUUUGUAUAUAUUAUCGAUAAUUCUUUUUAUAUAUUUGUUUAUUUUGUUAAUGCAUAUACAAUAUUUUUUGCUAAUAUUAUAUAAUUUCUUUCUGAUAGAUCGGAUUAAUUUUUAUUAAAAGUUGUGGAACUAAAUUAUAAUUAAUAUAUCAUAGGUUGAUUGGAUUUAAACAAAUUGUGACACAAAAACCUUAUUUUUUUCACCGGACACAUUAUUGAAAAAAAUGAAUAGUAAUGUUUCCACAGUUGAAUUGUUUUGACAUUGAUCUUCCAUAUGGUUUUGACAUGUUUCAGAUCAACAAUCAAAUUAAUACAUGUCAUUUUAAUGAUUUUAGUCGUAUGGUUAAGUAAAACUUACAUUUUUGUAAUUUAAAUUUGUUUUAAAAAAAUUCAGAAUAUAACAUAUAAGAAAAAAUCUAACAUAUAAGAAAAAAUCUAACAUAUAAGAAAAAUAUAACAUAUAAGAUUUCCUCAUUUUUGUAAAUUAAAGUCGUUUUAAACAAAAAUUAAAUUAUAACAUAUAAGGUUUCCUCAUUUUUGUAAUUUAAAGUCAUUUUAAAAAUUUUAAAAUAUAACAUAUAAGUAAAAAAACUAGUUUUUUAAUUAUAUGGUUAAUGUGAUUAUUUUAAUUUUUUUAAUAAUAUAAAAUUUAAAAAAAAAUGAAGAAUGAUGCAAAAAUUGUUAUAAAUUUUUUAUUAUUCAUAGUCAUUAACUGUCAUAUAUAUGUUAAUACUAUUAGGUAAUUUCGUAGUUUUUAUUUAAAGAAAUAAUACAUGUUUCUUAUAUUUUGAGUUAAUAUAAUGUUUCUUAAUAACUGGAUUUGAACCAACAUUUUUUCAAUUAAUUCUUAAGCUGUCAUGUAAACUAAAUUGUCAUCCUAAUUAAGUGAUACCUAAACAGUGUCUCUUUUUAAUUAGUACAAACUUAAUGUUAUAAUUUUUUUAAUAGUCCUCAAUUAAUAUAUAGGGAUUCAUAUAAUCAUAUUUAACAUGUUUAAUGAGGGGUCGUACAUAUUUAUAAUAUAUUUUUUUUUUUAUUGCUAUCUUAGCUUAACUGGUCAUGCAUGUUUCGUAUGUUUUUGAUACUGCUAGUACAUUCAAGUCUAGUUUUGUAUAAUCUAAGUCUGUAAUCUAAUUUUCAACAGUGGUGAUAUAUAUAUUAAUGGGAAAAUUAGGGCACGAAUAAUUAAGAAUUGCAAUUCUAUACUAAGAAAAAUGAGUUGAAAACAUGUUUUGAAAGUUUAAUCCUGCGAGUUAAAACAUUUUGAGGCACCUUUUUCUUAAUAUUUGCAAAUCUAAUGUCUUAACUUUUUAUCAUAUUCAUUACUGCAUUUUGCCGCGUGCCAAUUAACAUAAGUGCACGCUACUACAAUCGAAUGGUAUAUCGAUGCAGUAUUGUAUGAUUGAAUCCAUAAAAAACUAGUGGUAUAUAACAAUAAGAAUACACAAACUUUUCUAAUCUAAGCAAAUAAGAAGAUGGAUGAUUUGUAACAAUCUAAGUAAUGACAGUAGUGAUCAUGGGCCUUUGGAGAAAGUGAAAGAGCAGUCUCAAGCCCACACGGUCACCACCAAAGUUCAGCCUAAUCCUCCUCUGUCGUCUAGUGUCAAACAGAAAGCAUUCAAGGUUCAAUCUUCUUGCUCCAGUACGACGAGGCCAGCUAAUGGCAUAACGGUUGGAAAUAGAUUUGAGUGUCUUGGUACACAGCCUGUCAUGUGCUGAGUCAGAGUAGAGGAUAAGAUCUUAUGUCUCUAUAUAAUGUAAAACGUGAACAUGUAAUCAGCAAGCAAGAAAGUAAUAAAAGUUAAAACGUUCUUCUUCACAAAACUCUAAGUUUUUUCAUGGUAUCAGAGCCAUGGAGGACUCUGACGCUAUUUCUACGCCAUCACUGAGUAUCUCUCAGUGUGUGACGUUAAAACUCACAUCUUCCAACUACUUGCUUUGGAAGACACAGUUCGAAUCCUUUCUUUACAGUCAAUCCUUGCUCGGUUUUCUCAAUGGAGGUUCUCUUCGCCCUGCUCCAACGGUAACGGUUCAAGAAGGAGAUGGAGUCACAGAGCAGCCUAAUCCUGAGUUUCAGAAGUGGAUGCGCAAAGACCAGCUUGUCAUGGCUUGGUUGUUCGGUUCUCUGUCUGAGGAUGCUCUCAGAUCUGUCUACGGUCUCACGUCAGCUCAGGAGGUCUGGUUCUGCCUUGGAAAGAAGUACAAUCGUGUCUCAGCUACAAGAAAACUAGAUCUCCAACGUAAGCUUCAAGGUAUGACUAAAAGCCAAAGAACCAUGACAGAGUAUCUAGGAGAGAUUAAGAGUAUCUGUGACCAGUUAGACUCUAUAGGGUGUAGCAUGACUGAGCAUGAGAUGAUAUAUGGUGCGUUGAGCGGUUUAGGGAAAGAGUAUGAAUCCAUAUGUACGGUUAUUGAGCAUUCUAUGGAUUCGGUUACUGAGAUGACGUUUGAAGAUGCUGUGUUCAAGCUCACUACCUUUGAUGAUAAGCUUCAGGUCUAUAACCAAAGUGCCACAGUUAAUCCUCAUCUUGCCUUUCAUGUUGGAAGGGGUUACUCUAACAACAGAGGCAGAGGAGGUUACACUAACAGAGGGGAUUAUAGAGGUGGUCGAAGCAACAACAACUACUCCACAAGGGGACGUGGCUUUCAACAGCAGUUCUCAAGUGGUAAUGGUCGUGACAAUGUUAGCUCAGGGUCCGGUUCCAACAACAGACCUACCUGCCAAAUCUGUGGGCGGUAUGGUCAUUCAGCUGCGAGAUGCUACAAUCGCUAUGAUCAAGAGUCUCAGUCUUCAGAUAACCUACCCAAUGCGCUCACCACAAUGAGACUUUCUGAUCAAGAACACAGUACCGGUCAAGAAUGGUAUCCAGAUUCUGCUGCGUCUGCCCACAUUACAAGCAACCAGUCUCAGUUAACGUCAGCAGAACCCUAUCUUGGGAAUGAUCAAGUGAUCGUUGGGAAUGGAGAUUACCUGCCAAUCACGCAUGUUGGAUCUGUCGCCUUACACACACAACAAGGUACUCUUCCUCUUGAUGAUGUGUUAGUCUGUCCUGGAAUAACAAAGUCUUUGAUAUCGGUUUCAAAACUCACUUCAGACUAUCCAUGUGAAGUUACAUUUGAUUCUGAAACUGUUUUUGUUAAGGACAAGCAAACAAAACAGGUGAUAACUCAAGGCAGAAGGGAUAAGGAUCUGUAUAUGUUGAAGGAUGCAAGAUAUCAAGCUUUUUAUUCUACAAGACAGAGAGCUACAAGUGUGGAGAUUUGGCAUCAAAGGCUAGGCCAUCCUCACAAGGACAUCCUUCAGCAGUUAGCCAGGAGUAACGCUAUCAGUUUGAAUAAAGGGGGGACAUUGGAGCUCUGUGAAGCGUGUCAGAUUGGCAAGAGUUGCAGGCUUCCUUUUCUUCUUUCAGAAACUUUUUCUAAUAGACCUUUAGAGAAGAUACAUUGUGACUUAUGGGGACCUAGUCCAGUUGUUUCUGCUCAAGGAUUUGGAUUACCCGGAAUAGAGCAAGAUAAGGAAGAACAAGAGGUUUCUUGCGUUAGAAGCAACAAGCGUCAACUACAAAGCGAUAACGAGGAAGAAUCUACACUUCCUACGAAGUAAGUAAAGAUUUGAGUUUCAAUCUAUUGUUUCAAAUUAUCUAUGAAUUGUUGUACUAAUGAUGAUUCUUUGCUAAUUUACAGAACUCAAAUCGUUGGUUGGCCUCCGGUGAGAUCUUACCGUAAAAACAACAACAGUGUGAGCUAUGUGAAAGUGAGUAUGGAUGGAGCUCCAUACCUUAGGAAAAUAGAUCUCAAGACAUACAAAAACUAUCCAGAGCUUCUCAAGGCAUUAGAGAACCUGUUCAAGUUCACGAUCGGUGAAUACAGCGAAAGAGAAGGAUACAAAGGAUCUGGAGUUGUACCAACGUACGAGGAUAAAGAUGGAGAUUGGAUGUUGGUUGGUGAUGUUCCAUGGGAUAUGUUCUCUUCCUCUUGUAAGAGACUCAGGAUCAUGAAAGGAUCUGAUGCUCUUGCUUUGGACUCGGCCUUAUGAUGAUGAUGAUGAUGAUGAUGAAAGCUUUUGAUGGAUGAAACCCUUUUUGAUUUGAUUCUGAUCGGAGUUUGAGUAGUUGACCACACCAAAAACAGAACAUGUCAGGGUUUUGUUCGAUGAGAUAGAUCCAUCUUCAAGGGGUUUUCUUUUUGUUUUGUUUGAUCCUUGUUUUUAGAUUUGCA
rnacentral:lncRNA from 1 species